rnacentral:rRNA from 1 species
AGAGUUUGAUCCUGGCUCAGAGCGAACGUUAGCGGCGGGCUUAACACAUGCAAGUCGAACGAGAAAGCUCCCUUCGGGGGGUUAGUAAAGUGGCGCACGGGUGAGUAACACGUGGGUAACCUACCCUUUGGCGCGGGAUAACAGCUCGAAAGGGCUGCUAAUACCGCAUAAGUUGAGAGGUUCCUCGGAACCUUUCAGGAAAGGAUGGCCUCUGCUUGCAAGCUAUCGCCGGAGGAGGGGCCCGCGCCCCAUCAGCUUGAUGGUGAGGUAAUGGCUCACCAUGGCAAAGACGGGUAGCUGGUCUGAGAGGAUGAUCAGCCACACUGGGACUGAGACACGGCCCAGACUCCUACGGGAGGCAGCAGUGGGGAAUAUUGGACAAUGGGCGAAAGCCUGAUCCAGCCACGCCGCGUGUGUGAUGAAGGCCUUCGGGUCGUAAAGCACUGUGGAGGGGGACGAACAAGCAGUGGGAACAUACCCCAUUGCCCUGACGGUACCCCUUUAGGAAGCACCGGCUAACUCCGUGCCAGCAGCCGCGGUAAUACGGAGGGUGCAAACGUUGCUCGGAAUUAUUGGGCGUAAAGCGCGUGUAGGCGGCGCGUUAAGUCGAGUGUGAAAGCCCCGGGCUUAACCCGGGAAGUGCGCUCGAAACUGGCGUGCUAGAGUACGGGAGAGGGUAGCGGAAUUCCCGGUGUAGAGGUGAAAUUCGUAGAUAUCGGGAGGAACACCAGCGGCGAAGGCGGCUACCUGGACCGAUACUGACGCUGAGACGCGAAAGCGUGGGUAGCAAACAGGAUUAGAUACCCUGGUAGUCCACGCCGUAAACGAUGAGUGCUAGGUGUCGCGGGUAUUGACCCCUGCGGUGCCGAAGCUAACGCAUUAAGCACUCCGCCUGGGGAGUACGGCCGCAAGGCUAAAACUCAAAGGAAUUGAUGGGGGCCCGCACAAGCGGUGGAGCAUGUGGUUCAAUUCGACACACGCGAAGAACCUACCUGGGUUGGAAACCUCCUGAAUCCCCUAGAGAUAGGGGAGUGCCCUUCGGGGAACGGGAUGUCCAGGUGCUGCAUGGCUGUCGUCAGCUCGUGUCGUGAGAUGUUGGGUUAAGUCCCGCAACGAGCGCAACCCUUGUCUCUAGUUACCAUCGGUUCGGCCGGGGACUCUAGAGAGACUGCCGGUGUUAAACCGGAGGAAGGUGGGGAUGACGUCAAGUCCUCAUGGCCCUUAUGCCCAGGGCUACACACGUGCUACAAUGGCGGUUACAACGGGCAGCGACAUCGUGAGGUGAAGCCAAUCCCUAAAAAGCCGUCUCAGUUCGGAUAGGAGUCUGCAACUCGACUCCUUGAAGCCGGAAUCGCUAGUAAUCGGAGAUCAGAACGCUCCGGUGAAUACGUUCCCGGGCCUUGUACACACCGCCCGUCACACCAUGGAAGUCGGGGACUCCAGAAGUGGCUGAGCCAACCCUUUGGGGAAGCAGGUCCCUAAGGAGUGUCCGGUAACAGGGGUGAAGUCGUAACAAGGUA